rnacentral:rRNA from 1 species
AAUAUUGGACAAUGGGCGAAAGCCUGAUCCAGCCAUGCCGCGUGUGUGAAGAAGGUCUUCGGAUUGUAAAGCACUUUUGGCAGGGAAGAAAAGGCUCUGGUUAAUACCCGGAGCUGCUGACGGUACCUGCAGAAUAAGCACCGGCGAACUUCGUGCCAGCAGCCGCGGUAAUACGAAGGGUGAAAGCGUUAAUCGGAAUUACCGGACGUAAAGCGCGCGUAGGUGGUUCAGUAAGAUGGGUGUGAAAUCCCCGGGCUUAACCUGGGAACUGCUUUCAUAACUGCUGAGCUAGAGUACGGUAGAGGGUAGUGGAAUUUCCUGUGUAGCGGUGAAAUGCGUAGAUAUAGGAAGGAACACCAGUGGCGAAGGCGACUACCUGGACUGAUACUGACACUGAGGUGCGAAAGCGUGGGGAGCAAAC